CUUUUUUUAUCGAUCGUAUCACGUAAUGAGAUAAAUCUCACGCAAAUAUUAAAAAAAAAAAAAAAAGAAUACCCCAGGGUAGGGUGGAUAAAAAGUUUAUUUUGAUCGUUAUUAGUUUAACUGGCGAGAAUCGCUCUUUAUUAUUAUUAUUAUUUUUUUUUUCCUCCUACGCGAGAUAGCUAGGCCGCUAAAAUGAUUCAAUCUAGAUUGCAUCGAUGGAUAGAGAGAUAAUUUUGCACUCGAGGUCGCGUCCAUAUCUGUGCAAAAAAAAGAAAACCUUUCCGGACACGCUCAAUCUUAUGCAACAUACGAAUCAGUUCAGAAAUCGCCCCAUUUCCUCGGGCAUCGUUUCUAUCGCUCUCUCUCUCUCUCUCUCUCUCUCUCUCUACUAUUAUAUCUAUCACGAGAUCCAUUUUAGUCGCUGCAUUAUACUUUUUCUGUAC
rnacentral:lncRNA from 1 species